rnacentral:rRNA from 1 species
UACGGGGGGGGUAAGCGUUGUUCGGAAUUACUGGGCGUAAAGGGCUCGUAGGCGGCCAACUAAGUCAUACGUGAAAUCCCUCAGCUUAACUGGGGAACUGCGUGUGAUACUGGAUGGCUUGGAUUUGGGAGAGGGAUGCGGAAUUCCAGGUGUAGCGGUGAAAUGCGUAGAUAUCUGGAGGAACACCGAUGGCGAAGGCAGGUCUCUGGGCCACUACUGACGCUGAGAAGCGAAAGCAUGGGGAGCGAACAGG